GAAAGCGUGGGGGAGCAACCGGGUUUNGUUACCCNUGNUAGUUCCCCGCCCUAANACGAUGUNCCCUAGGUNGUUGUGAGGCUCGNCCCUUGCAGGUAAUUGCAGUUAACACAUUNAAGUGUACCGCCCUGGGAGUACGGUCGCAAGAUUAAAACUCAAAGGAAUAGACGGGGACCCGCACAAGCGGUGGAGCAUGUGGUUUAAUUCGACGAUACACGAAGAACCUUACCUGGACUUGACAUAGUAAGAACUUUCUAGAGAUAGAUUGGUGUCUGCUUGCAGAAACUUAUAUACAGGUGCUGCACGGCUGUCGUCAGCUCGUGUCGUGAGAUGUUGGGUUAAGUCCCGCAACGAGCGCAACCCUCGUCAUUAGUUGCUAACAGUUCGGCUGAGAACUCUAAUGAGACUGCCUACGCAAGUAGGAGGAAGGUGAGGACGACGUCAAGUCAUCAUGGCCCUUACGUCCAGGGCUACACACGUGCUACAAUGGGGUAUACAAAGAGCAGCAAUACGGUGACGUGGAGCAAAUCUCAAAAAUAUCUCCCAGUUCGGAUUGUAGUCUGCAACUCGACUACAUGAAGUUGGAAUCGCUAGUAAUCGUAGAUCAGCUAUGCUACGGUGAAUACGUUCCCGGGUCUUGUACUCACCGCCCGUCACACCAUGGGAGUUGAACUCAUUCGAAGCGGGGAUGCUAAAGUAGCUACCUUCCACAGUGGAUUCAGCGACUGGGGUGAAGUCGUAACAAGGUAACC
rnacentral:rRNA from 1 species